AGGGCAAGUCUGGUGCCAGCAGCCGCGGUAAUUCCAGCUCCAAUAGCGUAUAUUAAACUUGUUGCAGUUAAAAAGCUCGUAGUUGAAUUUUAGCGUGUUCGAGUUUGCCAUUCGUUUGGCUUUUUCGAGUUCGCUUUUGGGUUUUCCCUUUUUACUUUGAGAAAAUUAGAGUGUUUCAAGCAGACUUUUGUCUUGAAUACUUCAGCAUGGAAUAAUAGAGUAGGACUUUGGUUCUAUUUUGUUGGUUAUUGAACCUUAGUAAUGGUUAAUAGGAACGGUUGGGGGCAUUCGUAUUUAACUGUCAGAGGUGAAAUUCUUAGAUUUGU
rnacentral:rRNA from 1 species